ensembl:processed_transcript Gm20539 predicted gene 20539
GAGGAUACCCUGAGUUCAGUGAGAACGAAGACCAUGCCAGUCCUAGAACUCUCAGGUCCAGAGCGGUGUAGCUAUUAGACAGUACAUGAUCACACCCACACUGUUUCCCGUUGUUUAUGGAGUAUCGCUGCUUAUGUAUCGCUCCCUCAUUGUGUGCAACUGUUUAUCUAAGACACUUGUUAAUUUAUAUCUCUGCUUAUUUACAGAGGCUGUGUUAGUUUAGUUGAAUGGAAAGCACCACGAUGAAGUUGCAGUUGAGCGGUAGGAUUUUUCCCUACUUUCGGAAUAGAUGGGAGAUUGGUUGCUGGUUGUGAAGAAAUCUUGAAAGAUGCAACAAAGCUGUUUGUAUGGCAGAGGAAUCAAGACACCCCCCCCCGCCACCCCCCUCUCCGUGGGAAUGGAGAGCUGGAUUGUCAGGGUGCAUGGAAGUCGAGAAACAACUUCAUGCAGGGUGAGAAGAAAACAGUUCCAGAGCCAGGACUAAAGAGGAGGGCUUUCCCAGAUUCUCAGGGAAAAGGCAGGCUCCAGGGACAGCACUCUGGUGAAACCUGGGUGGCAAGUGUCUGUGCUUACUGAGAAAGCUCACCAGCCCCAACCUGGGCUGUUGUUUUAACGUUCUAUCCAUAUUAGAGGGUUGCACAAGCUAUAACACAUGGAUGGAAGCCAGAAGACAACUUGCAGGAGUUGACUCUCUCCAUUCACCAGAUCUGCCUUCUUGGCUCUGCACUCUGGCAGCUCAACCUUCUGCACUACUGUCAAUCUGCAAUGAUCUAUAAAGCAUGACAGUUACAUUUGGUGAACUGUUCAUAAGAAGUCACUGUGUGCCAGAUGACUGAAAGCAUCUCCAGUACAGAGUUUCUAAAAUGUGUUUCAGUGGCUCCAAGACCAUUUUCCUUUUCUAAAGAAGUUCCUAUGCUAAAAGCGAGACUAAAGGACCCUGAAAACUACUAAAAGGUAGGUUCUAGCAUCAACCAUCUAGAGAGUAAGGUUUCCUACGUGUCAGCCUUCUAUAUUGUUUAAGGAGAUAGUACAGAAGUUGAGAACUAUAUGACAAAGGAUGAAGCGGUUCAUUUGUCUGUGACCUGUAUCAACUGAGAUUGGUGAGAACUGAGUCUUAAACAGUAAAGCCCAGAGCCAACCUUACAGAAGGAAUCAGACAAGCAAGCUCACAGAUAUUGUUCGUGUUCUUCCCUUUCCCAGGCUAUGAGAGUUUCUCACCUUACUGAACUGUCCAGCGACAUACUUCAGGAUAUUGGGAGGCGCAUCAUAGAGAAACGGCUCAAGCGCCGGGAGGUAGGUGCAUUUUUGGAUGAUAUUCUUUAUGGCCUUUUUACUCUGUUGAGAUACAAAGCACAAUAAAUAAAAAUCUUGGC